rnacentral:rRNA from 1 species
AUUGAACGCUGGCGGAAUGCUUUACACAUGCAAGUCGAACGGUAGAGGGGGCAACCCCUCGAGAGUGGCGAACGGGUGAGUAAUAUAUCGGAACGUGCCCAGUCGUGGGGGAUAACGUAGCGAAAGUUACGCUAAUACCGCAUACGAUCUAAGGGUGAAAGCGGGGGAUGGCGAGACCUCGCGCGACGCGAGCGGCCGAUAGCAGAUUAGGUAGUUGGUGGGGUAAAGGCUCACCAAGCCAAGGAUCUGUAGCUGGUCUGAGAGGACGACCAGCCACACUGGAACUGAGACACGGUCCAGACUCCUACGGGAGGCAGCAGUGGGGAAUUUUGGACAAUGGACGCAAGUCUGAUCCAGCCAUUCCGCGUGCAGGAUGAAGGCCCUCGGGUUGUAAACUGCUUUUGUACGGAACGAAAAGGUCUCUCUUAAUACGGGGGACUCAUGACGGUACCGUAAGAAUAAGCACCGGCUAACUACGUGCCAGCAGCCGCGGUAA